UGGAAUAAAUACUUAAUCAUUCACUGUAAUCGGGUAGGGAAACAUCGGUGAAAGUCCGAGGCUGUGCGGCAACUGUAAGUUAGGUUAUUUCUAACAAGCCAGAAUGCCUACCGAUCACUUUGCUCUAUAC
rnacentral:ncRNA from 20 species